rnacentral:tRNA from 1 species
GCCGGAGUGGUGAAACUGGUAGACGCAGGGGACUCAAAAUCCCCCGGGAGUUUACUCCCGUGUCGGUUCAAAUCCGACCUCCGGCA